rnacentral:rRNA from 1 species
GACGAACGCUGGCGGCGUGCCUAGUACAUGCAAGUCGAACGCACUCUCGUUUAGAUUGAAGGAGUUUGCUCCUGAUUGAUAAACAUUUGAGUGAGUGGCGGACGGGUGAGUAACACGUGGGUAACCUGCCCUAAAGUGGGGGAUAACAUUUGGAAACAGAUGCUAAUACCGCAUAAAACCUAACACCGCAUGGUGUAGGGUUGAAAGAUGGUUUCGGCUAUCACUUUAGGAUGGACCCGCGGUGCAUUAGUUAGUUGGUGAGGUAAAGGCUCACCAAGACCGUGAUGCAUAGCCGACCUGAGAGGGUAAUCGGCCACACUGGGACUGAGACACGGCCCAGACUCCUACGGGAGGCAGCAGUAGGGAAUCUUCCACAAUGGACGAAAGUCUGAUGGAGCAACGCCGCGUGAGUGAAGAAGGUUUUCGGAUCGUAAAACUCUGUUGUUGGAGAAGAAUGUAUCUGAUAGUAACUGAUCAGGUAGUGACGGUAUCCAACCAGAAAGCCACGGCUAACUACGUG